rnacentral:lncRNA from 10 species
UACCCAAGAAAAGAGGAGAGGAGAGAAGUCCCAGGCACAGCACAGAGCUUGGUUCCACACACUCACUCUGUUCACAUUUGGAGAACUGAUACUCCUCCUGCUCAACUUUCCUUUUCCUGUUAACUGUUCCUUCACUGCAACUUCCUGUGAAUCAGAAAACAUACAGAGGAAAAAGACAUGUAAGAGACACACUGCAAAAGCAACA